rnacentral:ncRNA from 2 species
CCUAAAUAUGAUGAAAGAUCUCGUAUAUCCUCGGGAAAAAGGCCCGAAAGUUUCUACCCGAAAACCUUUAUUUUCGGACUACGAGUUGAUGGAACAAAUAU